AACGAACGCUGGCGGCAUGCCUAACACAUGCAAGUCGAACGAGACCUUCGGGUCUAGUGGCGCACGGGUGCGUAACGCGUGGGAAUCUGCCCUUCGGUUGGGAAUAACUGAGAGAAAUUUCAGCUAAUACCUUAUAAUGUCUUCGGACCAAAGAUUUAUCGCCGAGGAAUGAGCCCGCGUAGGAUUAGCUAGUUGGUGGGGUAAUGGCCUACCAAGGCGACGACCCUUAGCUGGUCUGAGAGGAUGAUCAGCCACACUGGGACUGAGACACGGCCCAGACUCCUACGGGAGGCAGCAGUGGGGAAUAUUGGACAAUGGGCGAAAGCCUGAUCCAGCAAUGCCGCGUGAGUGAUGAAGGCCUUAGGGUUGUAAGGCUCUUUUACCCGGGAUGAUAAUGACAGUACCGUGAGAAUAAGCUCCGGCUAACUCCGUGCCAGCCGCCGCUGUAA
rnacentral:rRNA from 1 species